rnacentral:sRNA from 1 species
UAGCUGACAAAACUUUUCCGCUUAAAAA